CACUAGCUGGCUCAGUCAGUAGAGCAUGAGACUUUUGAUCUCAGCGUCAUGAGUUCAAGCCCCAUGUUGGGCA
rnacentral:tRNA from 1 species